rnacentral:rRNA from 1 species
GCCUUCGGGUUGUAAAGCUCUUUCGGACAGAAAGAAAUCGCACGGGUAAAUAAUCUGUGCGGAUGACGGUACUGUAAGAAGAAGCACCGGCUAACUACGUGCCAGCAGCCGCGGUAAUACGUAGGGUGCGAGCGUUAAUCGGAAUUACUGGGCGUAAAGCGUGCGCAGGCGGUUGCAUAAGACAGAUGUGAAAUCCCCGGGCUUAACCUGGGAACUGCGUUUGUGACUGUGUAACUGGAGUACGGCAGAGGGGGGUGGAAUUCCUGGUGUAGCAGUGAAAUGCGUAGAUAUCAGGAGGAACACCGAUGGCGAAGGCAGCCCCCUGGGCCUGUACUGACGCUCAUGCACGAAAGCGUGGGGAGCAAACAGGAUUAGAUACCCUGGUAGUCCACGCCCUAAACGAUGUCGA